rnacentral:lncRNA from 1 species
AUUCUUCUCCUUCCUGUCACCAUGUGAAAGAUAUGCUUGUUUCCUCUUCUGCCGUGAUUGUAAGUUUCCUGAGACCUCUCAAGCCAUGCUGAACUGUGAGUCAAUUAAACCUCUUCCCUUUAUGAAUUACCCAGUCUCAGGUAUGUUUUUAUUAGCAGUGUGAGAAUGGACUAAUAAAGUAUAUUGGUAUCAAGAGUGUGGUGCUGCUGUAAAGAUAUCCAAAGAUGUGGAAGCAAAUUUGGAACUGGGUAGCAGGCAGAGGUUGUAACAGUUUGGAGGGCUCAGAAAAACACAGGAAAAUGUGGAAAUUUGGAACUUCCUAGAGACUUGUUGAAUGGCUUUUACCAAAAUGCUGAUAGUGAGAUGAACAGUAAAGUCCAGGCUGAUAUGGUCACAGAUGGAGAUGAGGAACUUGUUGGGAACUGUAAUAUGAUAACUCUUACUAUGCAAAGAGAUGGGAUGCAUUUUGUCUCUGCCCCAGAGAUCUUUGGAAUGUUGAACUUGAGAGAGAUGAUUCAGGGUAUCUGACAGAAGAAAUUUCUAAGUGGCAAAGCAUUCAAGAGGAAGCAGACCAUAAAAGUUUGGAAAAUUUGCAGCCUGAUGAUGCAAUAGAAAAGAAAAACCCGUUUUCUGGAGAGUUCAAGCCAGUGCAGAAAUUUGCAUAAGUAACAAGGAGCUGAAUGUUAAUCACCAAGACAAUGGGGAAAAUGUCUUCAGGGGAUGCCAGAUACUUUUACAGCAGCCCUCCAAUCACAGGCCUGGAGGACUAGGAGGGAAAAAUGAUUUUGCAGGCUUGGCCCAGGGCCCAGCUGCUCUAUGCAGCCUUGUAACAUAGUGCCCUGCAUCCCAGCUGCUUCAGAUCCAGCUGUGGUUAAAAGGGGUCAACAUGCACCUCAGGCCAAUGCUUCAAAGGAUGCAAGCCCCAAGCCUUGGCAGCUUCCAUGUGGCAUUGGGCCUGUGUGUGCACAGAAGUCAAGAAUUAAGGUUUGGGGACCUGCAUCCAGAUUUCAGAAAAUGUAUGGAAAUGCCAGGAUAUCCAGGCAGAAGUUUGCUGCAGGGGCAGAGCCCUCAUGGAGAACCUUUGUUAGGGCAGUGCAGAAGGGAAAUGUAGAGUCAGAGCCCCCAAACAGAGUCCCCAGUUAGGGACUAGUGAAGCUGUGAGAAGAGGGCCAUUGUUCUCCAAACCCCAGAAUGGUAGCUCCAUUGACAGCUUGCACCAUGUGCCUGGAAAAGUGGCAGACACUCAAUGCCAGCCCAUGAAAGCAGGCAGGAGGGGGCUGUACUCUGCAAAGCCACAGAGGUGGAGCUUCCUAAGGCCAUGGAAACCCACCUCUUGCAUCAGUGUGAUCUGGAUGUGAGACAUAGAUUCAAAGGAGGUUAUUUUAGAGCUUUAAGAUUUAAUUACUGCCUCGCUGGAUUUUGGACUUGCAUGGGGUCUGUAGCCCCUUUGUUUUGUCCAAUUUUCCCAUUUGGAAUGGGUGUAUUUACCCAAUGCCUGCACCUCCAUUAUAUCUAAUGGAGUUAGUUAUCUAAAAGUAAGUUAGUUAACUUGCUUUUGAUUUUACAGGCUUAUAAACAGAAGGGACUUGCCUUGUCUCAGAUGAGACUUUGGACUUAGACUUUUGGGUAAUGCUGCAAUGAGCUAAGACCUGCGCUGAUGGAAAGACUGAAGUACAGUGACACGAUCUUGGCUCACUGCAACCUCUGCUUCCUGGGUUCGAGCGAUUCUCCGGCCUCAGUCUCCCAAGCAGCUGAAACUACAGGUACGUGCCAACAUGCCCAGCUAAAUUUUGUGCAUAUAUAUAUAUAGUGGAAACGAGGUUUCACCAUAUUGGUCAGUAUGGUCUCAAUCUCUUGACCUUGUGAUCUGCCCACUGGCCUCCCAAAGUGCUGGGAUAACAGGUGUGAGCCACUGUGCCCUGCAAAGAGGGUGUCAGCAUAUUACAAGGCAAGAUCGGGAGCAAGAGAGAAGAGGAAAGAGAUAUCACAUCCUUCUUAAACAACCAGGUCUCGGGAACUCAGAGAAAGAACUCACUCAUUACCAUAAGAAGGGCACCAAGCCAUUCAUGAGGGAUCUGCCCCCACAACCUAGACACCUCCCACCAGGCCUUACCUCCAACAUUAGGGAUCACAUUUCAACGCGAGAUUUGGAAGGCAUGAACAUCCAAAGUAUGCUGCUAUAACCAACAAGUUAUUUUGUAUUUAUAUGUGUGUUAUGACUGUUUUUAAUGGUCUUUGAUAGAAAAAAAGUACCUGUUUUCUGAAGGCAAUGAAUGGUUAUGAAAUCAGCUAUUAAUAUUCCUACAAUAGCAAAGUGAGAG